UUUCCGUAGGUGAACCUGCGGAAGGAUCAUUCAUAAUAAGUGUUUUAUGGCACUUUUUUAUAUCCAUAUCCACCUUGUGUGCAAUGUCAGGGUUGAUUUUUCUCUCGAGAGGAUCAACCCCAAACAUCAACUAUAUCUCAACUCUUUGUCUGAAAAAUAUUAUGAAUAAAACAAUUCAAAUACAACUUUCAACAACGGAUCUCUUGGCUCUC
rnacentral:misc_RNA from 1 species